UACGAGGGGUGCAAGCAUUAUUCGGAAUUAUUGGGCGUAAAGGGUGCGUAGGCGGCAUAUUAAGUCAACUGUUAAAUUCCUCGGCCUAACCGAGGCCAUGCGGUAGAUACUGAUAUGCUAGAGGGUGGAAGAGAGAAGUGGAAUUCUCGGAGUAGCGGUAAAAUGCGUAGAUCUCGAGAGGAACACCAAUGGCGAAGGCAGCUUCUUGGUCCACACCUGACGCUGAGGCACGAAAGCGUGGGGAGCAAACAGG
rnacentral:rRNA from 1 species